ACAAACAAAAAAGAAGACAAAAAAGAAUUCAUUGUCACUUUCUUUUCUGUUGAGUGAAAAGAUAAAAGUCUUUACGCGACAGCAAUAGAGGAUGGGAUACAUCUUUCUCUUCUAAGCAACCUCUUUUGAAUUCUCAAGACCAUUCUUGCAAUAGGAUACCAUGCUCAAGAGGAAAUAGUGUUGGGAACCAGCAGUACGCACGGAUAA
rnacentral:rRNA from 1 species